rnacentral:misc_RNA from 1 species
AACGCACAUUGCGCCCUCUGGUAUUCCGGGGGGCAUGCCUGUUCGAGCGUCAUUGCAACCCCUCAAGCACGGCUUGUGAGUUGGGCCAUCGUCCCCCGUGGACGGGCCUGAAAUGCAGUGGCAGCACCGAGUUCUGGUGUCUGAGUGUAUGGGAAUCUCUAUCGCUCAAAGACCCAAUCGGCGCUGAUGUCAAUAUCUUUAUCCAGUUUUGACCUCGGAUCAGGUAGGAGUACCCGCUGAACUUAA